rnacentral:lncRNA from 1 species
UUAUAAAUAAGAUACGACAAUCAUAUUAUAAUCGCGUAUUGCGUGAAAACUAUACUAGUUAUAAUAUAAAGAGGCUAUAGUGUGAAGAGCUAACGUUUAUAUUUAUAAAUGAAAUUUACCAAUCAUCUUCAAGUGCAAAUUUUUGAAAUUUACAAAUUAUGGCUUUACUUGUGGGUAUGAAUUUUCGCUCAAAAGAAGGGCAAAACUCAGAAUAAAAGAAAAGCAAAGCGGUGCAAGUGCAAGAGUAGUUUCGAUCAUGGGGGUGACAAAGGAGCAAGUAGAAUCCUCACUAACUGCAAAGCUCAACCCUUCUCAUCUGGAAGUGAUUGACCAUCGUCUUUCAGAUAUGCUUUUCUUAAUGAAAAUCUGUAAAGAAUACAUCAUUCAAAUUUUAGGUAUAAAAUUGUAUAAACAUAUGAGUUUUUACAAUGAAUAAUAAAAUAAAAAUACACAAAAUAAAAGAGAAAGUAUAGGUUUCAACGAAAACAUUUCACAUUGUAAUCACAUUACAUUGGCUUUUUCACUUGUUGCUUAUUAUUAUGAAGAAAAUAUUUAGUUAACAAUACAAAAUGAAAGCAAUAAAUUUGUUAAAAGGAAAAAAUAAAUAUUUGAAAAUGGAAUAGAAAAUUAGUACUGCUUACUUUCAAAUUACAUUGCAUCGAUUUGCAUGAGAAUUUUCUGAUCCAACAAAAUGAUUAAGUCACAUCUGUACAUAUGUUUUCAUAGAAUAUUUGUGGUAAUAAUGUUUUCAGGAAAUAAAUUAGAGGGUGUAAAUUGAAAAGAAGUUGAAUGAAGAAUGUAUCAAUCCAGAAAAUAUGCAAUAAAUAUAUAAUAAACAUGAAUAAAAAUUUAGUUUCUGAGACAGUUUAGAAUUAUGAUAACUGCGGGAGUAUAGUGGAAAGUUGUUUAUUUUAAUUGUGAUUAUCUUUAUCUUUUAAAUUAAUUUUAAAAGUAAAUUUACUGUUUUAGCUGAUUAUAAGUAAAUCAGUUUUCAAUCAUAGCGUACUGUGAUUAAUUUUAUUUAGAUUUUUUUUUGGUCACUUUUUCUUUUCUCUUAUUUUUUUUCUUUAAAAAUAUUUAAAAUAGGGCAAUAAAUAUUUUUUAAAAAUGUAUUUAUCUUUCAAAAUUAGGUUACGGAAAAAUAAUCUAAAUUAGUGACUAUAAACUCUACUACGACAAACGAGAACUCUACUAUGAUCUGUAGAGUUCAAAAGUGACUUUUAAAUACCAAGUUCUAUUAUGAACUCUACUACAACUCAAAUUAGAUUUUACUGAAUAUGAUGUAGACACCAACGACGGUAACUAUCUAGUUCCAAACGUGCUUAUUAAAAAUUAUUUCUUAAUUUAAAUAAAAUAUAUUUUUUGGCUGUAAAGAAGGAGAAGUUGUGGGAAGAUAGAUAGUUACAGUUCCAUGGACUCUGUAAUGCAUUUUUUUCUUCAUUCUCUGUCGAUAAUGUAAACUUCAGAUAAAAAGAUUAACACAACAAAAAUAUGGAUAAUUAUGGAGAAACAAAUUAUAAUUGACUGUAUAUUUUGUUUAAUUAUAAUUGACUGUAUAUUUUGUUUACUCAUUAAAUUAUUUUUAAAAAAAAUCAAAAUAGUGGAGAAAAUAAUCUAAAUUAGAGUAUAAAACAGUAUAUUAUAAGACAUAGCCACAUUUAAACUACCUCUAAUCAAAGUUUUUUUUAUCAUUGUAUCGUACAAACAGAGCCAAGUAAUAUGAAAUUAAAGGAGUAAUUUGAGAGCGAUACCUGGUGGAGUUGCCUUCUGUGAGUAAGAUCAACAAUGCGAGAAGUGAGUGGUUUGAAAUUAGGUUCAUAACAUAACCGUCUUUUGAAUCUGCCCAAAUAAUACUUUUUCAACACCGCAACGAAGAAGAUGACGAUGACAGUAUUGGUCUCUGAAAAGCAUUUUGAUUCCGUUGUUGCUGCAAGUAUUUUGUUUUUGCGAUUACAUUUAAAAGAGUGUUGCUUCAGUUGUUAGAUAUUUAUCCAUCUAUGACAAAUUGCUAAUGUAUUCAACAACACUGAUUCCUUUGAUUGUGAUGUUGUAUUUGGCCUAUAUUUUUCUGUUUUUUUUUUUGUUUGCUAUAAAAUGGAACCCAACAAUGUGUUUCAGUCUCUAUAAAAGAGGCUCAAAAAUAUCUAUUUGCUUUAGGGCUAGUUAAUAUGCAGUUUAUACAGAGGUAGUUAAUAUGCAAAUAUAGAUAGAUUUUUUAUUUUUAAUUAUCUUUUUUUAAAUAUUUAUAGAUAAAUUUUUAUUUUUUUUAAAUACAAUUUUUUUAAUAUUGACACAUAAGGUUUUUGC